UUUGACUCAACACGGGGAAACUUACCAGGUCCAGAUAUAGUAAGGAUUGACAGACUGAGAGCUCUUUCUAUUUUUUUUGAUUGAAGAUGGCCGUUCUUAGUUGGUGGAGCGAUUUGUCUGGUUAAUGUCAGGGGCAUACCCCAUCUGUACAAAAUUACAAUUCAGUAUCGCACCUAAGGGAAAUAUGACAUUUACACCCCUGUAUCGAUAACAGAAAAAUAUCGGUUGGGGGUAAGCCCCAAGCCCUAGUUUGCGUCGAUUUGGCCUAU
rnacentral:ncRNA from 1 species